ACACACACACACACACACACACACACACACACAGUGCCAGGGUCUGACUUGGGAUUAAUGAUUCUGCCAACCUGCUCAGUAGAAAGUGUGAUGGUGCCAUCUAGCGGAAGUUGGUGGAUGUCAGGAUYAACAAAGGAGCCACGAUGGAGUCAGCUGGAACAGCUGCUGCUGCCCACGAGGACAAGUCUUCUGGAGUCAGACGAGACGAAGACUGAGCUGCUUGGGUGAAGUCAAACCUAAAAAAWCACUGCACCAUUGUCAAGCAUGGCGGUGGUACUGUCAUGCUGGGUGAUAUGAACAGGGUGAAGGUCUUCAGCUUUCCCUCCACUCCACAGCUCGAUUGUUCAAAUGUAGGUGUUCCAACAAGAAAAUGAUCCCAGAACAGGUUCCUGRGAGGAUAAAACUGUUGGAAUUGUUCUUCCAGAGCACCGAUCUCACCGGUUCUGUUUUUGAUGUGGUCAAAUAUCCAGUCAGGAUCGUUUUUGGGUAUGAAAAGCAUGUGGUCAAGAUCGUAUGUUUUAAGGGAUGUUAAAUUAAAUAUUAGUGGGAGCAUGUCCAUAUUCACUGCMUGGUUAAAAAAAAGUUGCCACCUAAAACAAAAAAAAUAAAAAAUAAAAAGGGUCACACACUAUUUCAUUGGACGGCCUUUAGGUUUGAUCACAGCACACAUUCACUGUGGCCUUGUUUUGAUAAUCUUCCUAGACCUGACCAACUGCAGCAACCAGAACACAGCCCCGCCCCCACAGGCUGAAAGUAGACAUCCUCAGAGACAUGGGGCCCCACUGUCCCUGCAGUUUUAGUAACCCGUUGGACAGUUCUUAACCCASUUUCAGUAGUUUCUGCAAUCUCCUGCUUGAUGCCAAUGAUUUGACCCUUCUCAAACACACCACCAUCUCUUCCCCGACCACAGGAUGUGCCUUUCCACAUGGUUAUUUWAGAAAUGAGAAGCAACUCAUUACACCAGUUGGGRUUAAAUWACGUGUUGCCAGCUGAAAGAUAAUCUCCCGUGCAGGAACUAUCCAAUAGGAGACAUGUACCUGUUUGCUUUGUUGAAUUCAGGUGACAAUUUAUUUAUUUCUGGCCAGGCAGUGUGUUUGAACCGGCAUCCAUAACUUUGAAUCCACAGUAAAUUAAACUUGUGUUCAGUUCUUGUUUUCAUAAUUGAUUCGGUUUGUUGCAGAAUAAAUAUUAAAUCAUCAAAAGCCCAAAA